GACGAACGCUGGCGGCGUGCUUAACACAUGCAAGUCGAACGGAAAGGCCCCUUUGGGGGUCCUCGAGUGGCGAACGGGUGAGUAACACGUGAGUAACCUGCCCUUGACUUCGGGAUUACUUCAGGAAACUGGGGCUAAUACCGGAUAGGAAUCCUUGCUGCAUGGUGGGGGUUGGAAAGCUUCGGCGGUUUUGGAUGGACUCGCGGCUUAUCAGCUUGUUGGUGGGGUAGUGGCUUACCAAGGCUUUGACGGGUAGCCGGCCUGAGAGGGCGACCGGCCACAUUGGGACUGAGAGACGGCCCAGACUCCUACGGGAGGAAGCAGUGGGGAAUAUUGCACAAUGGGCGGAAGCCUGAUGCAGCAACGCCGCGUGCGGGAUGACGGCCUUAGGGUUGUAAACCGCUUUCAGCAGGGGCGAAGCUUGUGGUGACGGUACCUGCAGAAGAAGCACCGGCUAACUACGUG
rnacentral:rRNA from 1 species